UUCUGCAGCAGGUCUGACUGGAUCUGAUGUCUGCCAGAGACUGUUCAGCAGCCGGGCCCCGGAGGUAAGAGCAGUGACUGAGAAAGGCUUCUCCCAAGUAAAAUAUGACUUAUACAUAGGAACAGAGCACUUGGGGAGAAAAAUGCUAAUGUGAGAUGAGCUGAUGUCUCACCUGAAAGAUCUACAGGCCUAACACUUCCUUGGACUCCCUUUUCUGGAUGGAAAUACCCCUGAAGGACUUCGGUUUUCUUAGCUUCAGAGCAGAGAUCUUUAUAACAAGGCAAUGCCUCUGCUUUGUGUGUUUGUGAGCUCCUUUUGCCAAGCUCGUCUGGUGAAGAAACUAAUGGACACUGGAAACAUUCCUGUGACCGCCCUGCUUCGUGUACUGCAUGCUGCACAUCAGCACAAGAGGAGUCCCUGCUUCUAAAACUGAACUCUCUUUCUUAACAACCUCAUUUACCAGGACACUGAGCUGGCAAAUCAGAUGCACACGACUUGCCUGGCUGUGCUGCGUCCAAGCUCUGCCUUCCUGCAACACAGGCUCUCCCCUUGAAGUUCACUGCAGCCAGAAACUCACAAGACAACGUGAGCAGUGUGCUCAUGCAGCUGGAUACUUCAAUGAAUGGUUCAAAUAAAGUAUCUGUUGUUUAAAAAUGAAGACUCUUCAGUGGACUAACACUUUACAGUAAAGCCCCCAAAGAAGGUAUGCUUCCCCUUUUCUAAAUGCUGUGACUAAAGUUAUUGAGAGAAAACUUGAGAUAAAAUGUGAGGCAUCCACCCUCACAUCUCUAUGUAAAACAAAACAAAAAAACCAAACCAAAACAAAACAAGACAGACAGAACCCGGGACAACGUUAUAUGGAUUCAGAGAAAGAAGAGACUCAAUCUGAUGAAGGUUCAAAAAGAAAAUGAAAGGAAAUAUCUGUCUGGAAAACUGAAUAAAGGAGAUGCACUGUGUUUGGACCCA
rnacentral:lncRNA from 1 species